rnacentral:rRNA from 1 species
UACGGGUUGAAGCAUGACCGUAAGGACAUGUGGACAGUAUGGGAGCGCGAAUGUUUGCAGGAGUAGCGAGCUGUGGGUGAGAAGCCCACAGGCCGUAAACCCAAGGGUUCCAGGUGAAGGUUCGUCCACCAGGGGUUAGUCGGGACCUAAGCUGAGGCCGAAAGGCGUAGGUGAUGGACAACAGGUUGAUAUUCCUGUACUACCGAUAACC